GCACUUACACCUGAACUUGUCUCCAGCACUGCGGACACCCGGGUGACACAUUCUUUCGGAGAGGGAGGGCAAGACUUUUCUCCGGAGCCUCUGGCAACUCGUGGAGUCUAUAUAAGCUCUGGAUUGAUUGAUGACCACCGGCGGCCAAUGGCUCUGACACCACGCCAUCCUCGGUCGGGCAUCACAGCCCCACGUCCCCGACCUCAGCCUCCCGGGCGCGUUGGCAUCCCCGAACCCACAGCGCUGAGCCCGAGCCCGGGGCCGCCGCCUCCUCCCUGCUCUACGCCUGGGCGCUGCCAGGUUCCUUCCCUGGAACGGCGGAGAAAGGAAGGGAGGGAGCCAGCGAGCGUUGGAAGGGGGUGUGGAGGCCACGGGAUCUCCCCCUCUUCUGACAUCUUUUUUCACUUAAACUUUUGUUUGUCCCACCCCCCCGACCUGUUUGUGUUUGUUUGCAGCAUCUCAAAUCAAUUAUACAUUUUUCAUGACCCGCA
ensembl:lncRNA MPPED2-AS1 MPPED2 antisense RNA 1